UACAGAGGGGGCAAGCGUUGUUCGGAAUUACUGGGCGUAAAGGGCGCGUAGGCGGCCAACUAAGUCAGACGUGAAAUCCCCAGGCUCAACCUGGGAACUGCGUCUGAUACUGGAUGGCUCGAGUUCGGGAGAGGGAAGUGGAAUUCCAGGUGUAGCGGUGAAAUGCGUAGAUAUCUGGAGGAACACCGGUGGCGAAGGCGGCUUCCUGGACCGACACUGACGCUGAGGAGCGAAAGCGUGGGGAGCGAACAGG
rnacentral:rRNA from 1 species